rnacentral:rRNA from 1 species
CAAUAGCGUAUAUUAAAGUUGUUGCGGUUAAAAAGCUCGUAGUUGGAUUUCUGCUGAGAACGACCGGUCCGCCCUCUGGGUGUGUAUCUGGCUCUUUCUUGGCAUCUUCUUGGUGAACGUUGCUGCACUUGACUGUGUGGAGCGCUACCCAGGACUUUUACUUUGAGGAAAUUAGAGUGUUUCAAGCAGGCAUACGCCUUGAAUACAUUAGCAUGGAAUAAUAAGAUAGGACCUCGGUUCUAUUUUGUUGGUUUCUAGAGCUGAGGUAAUGAUUAAUAGGGAUAGUUGGGGGCAUUCGUAUUUAACUGUCAGAGGUGAAAUUCUUGGAUUUGUUAAGGACGGACUACUGCGAAAGCAUUUGCCAAGGAUGUUUUCAUUGA